rnacentral:rRNA from 1 species
AUAUUGGACAAUGGGCGCAAGCCUGAUCCAGCCAUGCCGCGUGAGUGAUGAAGGCCUUAGGGUUGUAAAGCUCUUUCAGCGGGGAAGAUAAUGACGGUACCCGCAGAAGAAGCCCCGGCUAACUUCGUGCCAGCAGCCGCGGUAAUACGAAGGGGGCUAGCGUUGUACGGAAUUACUGGGCGUAAAGGGCGCGUAGGCGGACUGUUAAGUCAGGGGUGAAAUCCCGGGGCUCAACCCCGGAACUGCCUUUGAUACUGGCGGUCUUGAGUUCGGGAGAGGUGAGUGGAAUUCCGAGUGUAGAGGUGAAAUUCGUAGAUAUUCGGAGGAACACCAGUGGCGAAGGCGGCUCACUGGCCCGAUACUGACGCUGAGGCGCGAAAGCGUGGGGAGCAAACAGG